UUAUAACGCAUGAUAAAAAUCACUUAGAUAUCAAUAUUAAGAAACCAGAUGACUACACCUUGUCAGGAAGAAAUAAUAUACUACAUCAUCAAUAAAGCUAAGACUUUAAUAAAGCUGUAAUAUGAAUAUCUCUCUUCAAGCCUUUUAUACUUUUAAACAUGAAAAUAUUUACAAGUUUUCAAUCCAACCAAAAUCAACCAAUCACAGAUUUAAAAUCCUUAUUUCCAAUGUUGAAUUUGUGGUAUAUUAGCUAUUUUUGUUCAAGUUUAUACUUUCUUUGAGAAAAUAAGAGAUUUAUUUAUUGAAUUCAUUAAAUGGUGUAAAAGUACUUAGUAAAUAUGCAAACUUGUUACUUAUCUUGUUCCGUGUAUGAUCAAUCAAUCUCAAAGGCUUAGAAUAAGUCAUAGACAUCAACUCUCGGUGAUGAAGUGACCAAUCAAAAAUCUCAAAAACCGCAUGACAAACCUAGUUAUAUUACCUCCUUAUGUGGGCAAUGGGCCUCCAAAACACCACAACACAAAAUUCACUGCCUCACUGCUAAUUCACGCAAUGAGAAGAUGUCAAAUCAGUUUUUGACCAGCAUUAGACAGGAUUCAUCUGUAUUCCAAAUAUAAAUAGCACUAGAGAAUAUUCAUUGGCUCAAGAAGCACAUAAAAAGCCAUAGGUGCAUGUAAACGGCUCUAUGCUCAAUCAACGAUGGCAUACAAAUUUAAUGCGCAAAACGUGAAUCAUUUUACCCAUGUGAAAAUGAACCAUCGCAUCUCGAUCAUCUAUUUCACCUUGACAAAUCACCACCUGUGGGAAAUAAGCAACAUCGCGUAUUGAAUGGUCCAUGAAAAAAAAAUUCAGAUGUGAGCACCUAUCACAGGAAGUUCGGUUAUUAACAGCGAUGACAAUUAUAUCAACGAGUGUCAUACCAAGAUGAAGGUGACCUCGAGACUUAUGAACUGAGUUUCCAAUGUAGAGAUCGCGACAGACCCGCCACGAGCAGAUUACGGAGAGAAAGCCUGCGGACGAACCAGAUGAAGAAGCAUGUGCUAAGAGUGCCUUAGAGAUACGGUAUCUUUACACAGGAGGCCGAGGACGACGGAUCGGAUAAAAGUAAGGAGCAUACCAAAAAACCGCACUCGGAAUCACAGAGGUCAAGGGGGAUUUUUCGUCAUUGGCAAAGUCAUGAAGGAUUGCGAGAACAAAAAAAAGAGGUCAAAUAGACAAAAAAGAAGAUCAUACUGUGAAAACAAAUGUGUUGAGAAAAGUGAGAAAAAGAAAUCCGAGAUGGAGUUAAAAGGCACACGUUGCCUGAAGCAUUCCUGUUUCAAAGAAUCCCUN
rnacentral:lncRNA from 1 species